GUGCAGAUGCCCCAUUGCCCAGGCAGGGAAGACAGAUGAUUGAGAAGAGAACAUGGAAAGAAGGGAAGACAGAAGGACAGACCUGUGACUUCAGACCCAUGGACACGCUCUUUGAAUACUUGCUGAGACUGGGGAUGGGGUGCACAGGCCUGGUUCUUUGCCUGGUUUUUGAAUCCUGGAUGAAUCACCUCUUCUCAGGGUUCCUCUUAGUCUACAUUAGCCCUUCUCAAAUGGACUCUGCCAAGCAAAGACUGCUUCUUCCUGCUGUCGCUUUGGGCUGCUGAGAAGGGCAUGGUGGCUUCAGGAUCAUUAGGCUGCAAGCCUUUCUUCUUGUUGCCAAGAUAUAAAUGAAGUCCUUGAGUUGAACAAAGCUGGGAUAAUGAUGACCCCUAAGGGACCUCUUCUGGAUCCGAAGUGUCAUAAAUCUCUACUAAUACAAAGAAAGGCAGAAUCACAGUUACUAAGGAACAAGGAGGCAGCACCUGUUACAGCCAUUCAUUUGAGGAGAGAACCAGUUGUCCCUCAUUUUACUGUUAACUAUUCCAUUGAGAAAGCAGUGGUCACCUCAGAACUCAGGGCCAUAUAUGCUCAAAAGCCUCAUUAUAGAAAGUGAUCAGGCCGCAAAAAACCACUUCACUCCAAAUGGACUGGACGAAUGCUGAGAACCAUGAAGGAGCCGAAAACCUGUGCACACCCACUGGAGCUCACAGUACUCUUCCAAGGUCAUCAAUCCAGAACUCUGACUUGGCCAUGCAGUAGGGGUGCGCUAUUCCAUCACUGCCUGUCUAAAUCUGUUCACUGCAAAAUGAAGCUUCCUGGAAACCAGGGCUUGAGUAAAAGAUCCAUCUAAU
rnacentral:lncRNA from 1 species